rnacentral:rRNA from 1 species
AUUGAACGCUGGCGGCAGGCCUAACACAUGCAAGUCGAGCGGAUGAAGGGAGCUUGCUCCUGGAUUCAGCGGCGGACGGGUGAGUAAUGCCUAGGAAUCUGCCUGGUAGUGGGGAUAACGUCCGGAAACGGGCGCUAAUACCGCCUACGUCCUGAGGGAGAAAGUGGGGGAGCUUCGGACCUCACGCGAUCAGAUGAGCCUAGGUCGGAGUAGCUAGUUGGUGGGGUAAAGGCCUACCAAGCCGACGAUCCGAUACUGGUCUGAGAGGAUGAUCAGUCACACUGGAACUGGGCCACGGUCCAGACUCCUACGGGAGGCAGCAGUGGGGAAUGUUGGACAGUGGGCGGAAGCCUGAUCCAGCCAUGCCGCGUGUGUGAAGAAGGUCUUCGGAUUGUAAAGCACUUUAAGUUGGGAGGAAGGGCAGUAAGUUAAUACCUUGCUGUUUUGACGUUACCAACAGAAUAAGCACCGGCUAACUUCGUG